AACAACAUAAAUUAAAAAAAAUAAAAAGGAAGAACUCAUGUUUAUGUUAUUCAAAAAAUUAAAAAAAAAAGAAAAUUGAAGACUAUAUUCUGUAUUUUGUACUAAGAUAAACAAAAAAUACAAUAUUUUCCUCUGCAACAAUAAAACACAGAAGCCACUAGAAGUCGAUGGAGCACUUCCCCUCAAAACAAACCCCAAAAGCACUAAAGCAGACGACUUUACUCUUGCUGAAAACCUCCUAGAAGCAGAAUAAAAACACACACACACACAGAGAGAGAGAGAGAGGGGAAUCGAAGAAGGAGAAGAGGUUGAGCAAGACGAUGCUACCGACGAGCAAGAUCAUCGUUGUCGUUGUCGAACUGAGGAGAAGGGAACGACCAGAGACAGAGGCCAAGUUUGAAGGGGAAGUUUGGACCUGAGUUUUAGCUUUCUCGCCGUAGAAGGCUGCCCUCUUCUCCACCGUCGCCUCCCUCUUCUUCCUUUUCUUUUCUUUUUUCUU
rnacentral:lncRNA from 1 species